UAGGAUAUAUUUAUGGUCAAUAAAGCUCCAUAUAUAUCCAAUAUAAGCAGAUAUUCUUCACCCAUUUUAACACAUAAUAUUGAGAAUUAUCUCCACCUCUCUAUCUUUUCUCUUCAAGAUUAAAACAACAAUUUUUAGUUGUUCUAGGGUUCUUAAAAAACCCUCAUAUCUGCAAACCUAGUGUGAAGGGAAGCUGAAGUUCUAGAAAAAUUCAAGUUAUAAGGAGAAGUUGCAGAAUUUGAGAUUAAAAUCAAAAGGGGGAGGCUGAAUUGUGAUAGUUAUAUCGGUUAGAGGAUAAGGUAUGUAAGGCUAUUUGAUUCUAUAUUCCUUUGGCAUGAAAUCUGAUACUUGCAAUUUAUACCAAUGAAGUGAAUCUCAAAAGUUCUAUUCCUAGAAAAAGAAACAUAGUGGAGUGUACUUUCUCUAAAUAGCUAACAAUAUUUCCCUCUCUCUGUUGUGCAUAGAACUACUUCAUUAUAUGUUCACUAUUUUAUACUUGUGUAAUUAUCCCCCCCAUGUGCUGGUAUAGAAAUGGUAUUUUCAAUAGCAAGUCUGGUAAAUCCUCCUCUUUGUUGUUUGAAGUCAAAAUGUGUCAUUAAGCUUUUAUAGUAAUGUGUUGAUGAUACUAGGCUCCUUAUGUCAUUGUUAUUGCCUUGAAUUAUUAUUUUCAUGUCUUCUAUUACUGGUCCGUACUUCCAUAUUUCCAAAAUGUAUAUGACCACCAGAAUAACAUCUAAAAAGAGUUAUGAUAAUCCAAAGAACAAUCCCAAAAGAGUAAUGAACUGAUAGACAAGAAUCUCAAUGAUUAAGAAUCUAAGUGAAGAGAUCUAUAAUAACGGGUGGCAGCCCAGGGGAGAAAGCCUAGCAUGGGCCGAUCCCAACUGGUACAUAAGGGUGGCAGCUCAAAAGUGAAAUCCUAGCAUGAGCCAAUCCCAAAUUGUGUAAUUGUGAGGACCGCAUCCUAGGGUUUAAUAUGCCUAGCAUGGGUCAUCCUCUUCUACCAUUGAUCAGAUGGUCACUUUUAUCGCAUGCCCUCCAAAGAUUAUAACGUACAGAAAAUUAAAGAAAAUAAUGUAACUUACAUGAUCUCACAAGAGUAAGAAAAGGUGGUCUUCUCUCCUAAUCUAUGCACACAUUAGUUGAUACUUGAUUUCAUUUGAGCCUCAUAUUGCAUAUGCUAUAUUGCCUUACAUAUUCAGUAUAUUUUUUUUGUACUAACGUCCCUCGCAGGAGACAUUGUAUUUCAUGCUGCAGGCACAUGUACUCCAUCUGUAGACCUCCUUUGUAGGAGCAUUCAACACUAAGAUACUUUUGGUGAGCUCCGGGUUUAUUCGGAGCUUUACUGAGUCAUUGGUAAAUUUAUUUUGGUAUUGUAUCAUAGUGUAUUCUAUCUUUUUAGAGGCUUUGUAGACACAUGUACAUGGUUCAAUUGUAUAUUUUUGCCUUUGAUUGUAAGAUCCCGUCUCACCAAGUGAGGUUCAAGGACAAAGAUAUACCCAAGAUAGCUUUUUGAACAUAGUAUGGUCAUUUUGAGUUCUUAGUCA